GGGUUGUGAGGUUAAGCGACUAAGCGUACACGGUGGAUGCCCUGGCAGUCAGAGGCGAUGAAGGACGUGCUAAUCUGCGAUAAGCGCCGGUAAGGUGAUAUGAACCGUUAUAACCGGCGAUUUCCGAAUGGGGAAACCCAGUGUGACUCGUCACACUAUCAUUAACUGAAUCCAUAGGUUAAUGAGGCGAACCGGGGGAACUGAAACAUCUAAGUACCCCGAGGAAAAGAAAUCAACCGAGAUUCCCCCAGUAGCGGCGAGCGAACGGGGAGGAGCCCAGAGCCUGAAUCAGCAUGUGUGUUAGUGGAAGCGUCUGGAAAGGCGCGCGAUACAGGGUGACAGCCCCGUACACAAAAGCGCAUGUGCUGUGAGCUCGAUGAGUAGGGCGGGACACGUGGUAUCCUGUCUGAAUAUGGGGGGACCAUCCUCCAAGGCUAAAUACUCCUGACUGACCGAUAGUGAACCAGUACCGUGAGGGAAAGGCGAAAAGAACCCCGGCGAGGGGAGUGAAAAAGAACCUGAAACCGUGUACGUACAAGCAGUGGGAGCACAGGUUUACCUGUGUGACUGCGUACCUUUUGUAUAAUGGGUCAGCGACUUAUAUUCUGUAGCAAGGUUAACCGAAUAGGGGAGCCGGAGGGAAACCGAGUCUUAAUUGGGCGUUAAGUUGCAGGGUAUAGACCCGAAACCCGGUGAUCUAGCCAUGGGCAGGUUGAAGGUUGGGUAACACUAACUGGAGGACCGAACCGACUAAUGUUGAAAAAUUAGCGGAUGACCUGUGGCUGGGGGUGAAAGGCCAAUCAAACCGGGAGAUAGCUGGUUCUCCCCGAAAGCUAUUUAGGUAGCGCCUCGUGAACUCAUCUCCGGGGGUAGAGCACUGUUUCGGCUAGGGGGCCAUCCCGGCUUACCAACCCGAUGCAAACUGCGAAUACCGGAGAAUGUUAUCACGGGAGACACACGGCGGGUGCUAACGUCCGUCGUGAAGAGGGAAACAACCCAGACCGCCAGCUAAGGUCCCAAAGUCAUGGUUAAGUGGGAAACGAUGUGGGAAGGCCCAGACAGCCAGGAUGUUGGCUUAGAAGCAGCCAUCAUUUAAAGAAAGCGUAAUAGCUCACUGGUCGAGUCGGCCUGCGCGGAAGAUGUAACGGGGCUAAACCAUGCACCGAAGCUGCGGCAGCGAACGUAUCACUUAAAGCGAUUCAGCGGGUUACGAUUGACGGAGCGAAGCGACGUCAAAGCGUAUACAAAGUCGAGUCGGUUUAAGGAUACGUUCGUUGGGUAGGGGAGCGUUCUGUAAGCCUGCGAAGGUGGCCUGUGAGGGUUGCUGGAGGUAUCAGAAGUGCGAAUGCUGACAUAAGUAACGAUAAAGCGGGUGAAAAGCCCGCUCGCCGGAAGACCAAGGGUUCCUGUCCAACGUUAAUCGGGGCAGGGUGAGUCGACCCCUAAGGCGAGGCCGAAAGGCGUAGUCGAUGGGAAACGGGUUAAUAUUCCCGUACUUGGUGUUACUGCGAAGGGGGGACGGAGAAGGCUAUGUUGGCCGGGCGACGGUUGUCCCGGUUUAAGCGUGUAGGUGUGUGUUCCAGGUAAAUCCGGUUCACUUUAACACUGAGGCGUGAUGACGAGGCACUACGGUGCUGAAGCAACAAAUGCCCUGCUUCCAGGAAAAGCCUCUAAGCAUCAGGUAACAUCAAAUCGUACCCCAAACCGACACAGGUGGUCAGGUAGAGAAUACCAAGGCGCUUGAGAGAACUCGGGUGAAGGAACUAGGCAAAAUGGUGCCGUAACUUCGGGAGAAGGCACGCUGACACGUAGGUGAAGUGAUUUACUCAUGGAGCUGAAGUCAGUCGAAGAUACCAGCUGGCUGCAACUGUUUAUUAAAAACACAGCACUGUGCAAACACGAAAGUGGACGUAUACGGUGUGACGCCUGCCCGGUGCCGGAAGGUUAAUUGAUGGGGUCAGCGCAAGCGAAGCUCCUGAUCGAAGCCCCGGUAAACGGCGGCCGUAACUAUAACGGUCCUAAGGUAGCGAAAUUCCUUGUCGGGUAAGUUCCGACCUGCACGAAUGGCGUAAUGAUGGCCAGGCUGUCUCCACCCGAGACUCAGUGAAAUUGAACUCGCUGUGAAGAUGCAGUGUACCCGCGGCAAGACGGAAAGACCCCGUGAACCUUUACUAUAGCUUGACACUGAACAUUGAGCCUUGAUGUGUAGGAUAGGUGGGAGGCUUUGAAGUGUGGACGCCAGUCUGCAUGGAGCCGACCUUGAAAUACCACCCUUUAAUGUUUGAUGUUCUAACGUGGACCCGUUACCCGGGUUGCGGACAGUGUCUGGUGGGUAGUUUGACUGGGGCGGUCUCCUCCUAAAGAGUAACGGAGGAGCACGAAGGUUGGCUAAUCCUGGUCGGACAUCAGGAGGUUAGUGCAAUGGCAUAAGCCAGCUUGACUGCGAGCGUGACGGCGCGAGCAGGUGCGAAAGCAGGUCAUAGUGAUCCGGUGGUUCUGAAUGGAAGGGCCAUCGCUCAACGGAUAAAAGGUACUCCGGGGAUAACAGGCUGAUACCGCCCAAGAGUUCAUAUCGACGGCGGUGUUUGGCACCUCGAUGUCGGCUCAUCACAUCCUGGGGCUGAAGUAGGUCCCAAGGGUAUGGCUGUUCGCCAUUUAAAGUGGUACGCGAGCUGGGUUUAGAACGUCGUGAGACAGUUCGGUCCCUAUCUGCCGUGGGCGCUGGAGAACUGAGGGGGGCUGCUCCUAGUACGAGAGGACCGGAGUGGACGCAUCACUGGUGUUCGGGUUGUCAUGCCAAUGGCACUGCCCGGUAGCUAAAUGCGGAAGAGAUAAGUGCUGAAAGCAUCUAAGCACGAAACUUGCCCCGAGAUGAGUUCUCCCUGAGACUUAGAGUCUCCUGAAGGAACGUUGAAGACGACGACGUUGAUAGGCCGGGUGUGUAAGCGCAGCGAUGCGUUGAGCUAACCGGUACUAAUGAACCGUGAGGCUUAACCUUACAACGCCGAAG
rnacentral:rRNA from 1 species